AUUAAUGGGAGUUUUAUACAUGUAUACAAUGAAAGAUGAUUACAUGUGUGUGUGUGUAAUUAAUGGGAAUUUUAUACAUGUAUACAAUGAAAGAUGAUUACAUGUAAUCCCCAAGUGUGUGUGUGUGUGUGUGUGUGUGUGUGUGUGUGUGUGUGUGUGUGUAAUUAAUGGGAGUUUUAUACAUGUAUACAAUGAAAGAUGAUUACAUGUAAUCCUCAAUUUCCUUUUCCAACUUCUGUCAUGUUGCCCCAGCAUGCCUCUUCUUAGCUUCAUGUCUGUUUUUUGUAACCUUCUCAGCCCAAUUAUUGAUUCCCAUAGGAAUCCCAUAAGUAAAAAAGCCCCCAAACAAUGAUUCUCCCUCUCUCUACAGCUAUCAGCUGCCUAAAGCUUUUCUUCUUUAAGGGGUGAAUACAGAAGAGCACCCCUCUCUGAGUUUGGGCUGGCUUGAUCUUAUGCAGGUACACACAGCUUCUGUCAAUUCAUGAUGGUGGUCACUGUGUCACGUCCAGAAGACAGCAUCUGUUUGCAGUGACAGCAGUCAAUUCGAAGAUGCAAGAUUGGUCAGAGUACCAAGAGUAAGGGACUAUGUGCGAUUUUCAGAGAGGUGGUGAGAUGCAGUUUGGUUCCUGCCUCCAGAUUCCUGCCCUGACUUCCCUAGAUGAUGGACUGCAAGCUGUACAAAGAAGUAGACUUUCUCCUCUGAAGUUGCUUUUGGCCAUGGUAUUUUAUCACAGCAGUGCAGACCCUGAGAUUUCAGCCUGCAUGGGACCUUCCAGCACUAUGAACAUCAGCCAUCAGAGUGGAAGCUUCCAACUUAGUUCUAGCUUGAUUUAUUUAUAUGCUGCAUCUGCAUCCAAAGUCUGUGGUUUCUUCAGUAACAUAGUCUUACCAUCUAGUUCCGGUGGGUGACCUACCAAUGGCAGUUUUGGGAGCCUGUAAUCAACAACUCAGAAGGAAAUAGCCUACAAGUGGUGUUGAGAUUUUUCUUUCAAAACUCUUGUCGUUUGGGAGCAGUAUUAUCCAUUCAUUUAGGGUACCUUCAUCCACAAAUGUUAGCUCUCUAAUUGGACUUAAGGCCUGCUCAAUAGGAGGGAAACCAUGCCUGGUACUGGUAGCAUAGCCAACUACCCGGUGCCAGUGAACUCAUGGAUCUUGGAGGAGAACUGACAACCAUCACUUUACUAAGCCAUCGUAAUACCUAACUAUACUCUAAAUCCUUAUACUCACAG
rnacentral:lncRNA from 1 species